GACGAACGCUGGCGGCGUGCUUAACACAUGCAAGUCGAACGGAAAGGCCCUGCUUUUGUGGGGUGCUCGAGUGGCGAACGGGUGAGUAACACGUGAGUAACCUGCCCUUGACUUUGGGAUAACUUCAGGAAACUGGGGCUAAUACCAGAUAGGAGCUCCUGCUGCAUGGUGGGGGUUGGAAAGUUUCGGCGGUUGGGGAUGGACUCGCGGCUUAUCAGCUUGUUGGUGGGGUAGUGGCUUACCAAGGCUUUGACGGGUAGCCGGCCUGAGAGGGUGACCGGCCACAUUGGGACUGAGAUACGGCCCAGACUCCUACGGGAGGCACCAGUGGGGAAUAUUGCACAAUGGGCGGAAGCCUGAUGCAGCAACGCCGCGUGCGGGAUGACGGCCUUCGGGUUGUAAACCGCUUUCGCCUGUGACGAAGCGUGAGUGACGGUAAUGGGCAAAGAAGCACCGGCUAACUACGUG
rnacentral:rRNA from 1 species